ensembl:lincRNA 1010001N08Rik RIKEN cDNA 1010001N08 gene
GAUUGGACUCACCGAGCCCUAAACAAACAGCGCUAGCCGAAGGGUGCCAGGCUGUGGGUCGGAACUGCUCUCUACAAGCUGCUGGGUGCGGAGCUCACAAAAGGGAUUUCUUUCGACAAGCUGGACAUUGGAAGAAGGCUGCGAGAAGGGAAUUGAACAUGAGAAACACUCUUGUGGGAGUGGAUUCUUACAGGAACACCCCAGUCAUUGUGGCUUCUGCGUGGCUGCAUUUAUGAAAGGCUGGAAGUAGAAAACUCUGGAAUGGAGAGACUAGCAGCUGGAACAGGAUUCAAAGGCUUUAAAUUUUAACCCGAGUUCGAUCGAAAGUUACUACCACAAGAGACUGGCACGGGCCGGCCCAAUUCCCACCACGGCUUCCAGCGGCUUGCUUUGGGUUGUCCGCUAGGCGUCGAAGACUAGAGAACACACUGACCCUGGCGCCUCUGGGACAGAGGUGAGGAGUUCGACCCAAACGAACAGAUUCGACAACAUUCGGACUCUAGAGGCUGGGGAAGAAACCCAUAAUUUUACCGUCCUCAUUCCCAAUCAUUUUAGUAGUGCCUCCAACCACAAGAAAACCGAUAGAUCAUUGUUUUUCCUUUCAGGGCUCAAAAUUCACCUUUUAAACUUUUUUUAAAGACUAGCUUUCCGAAAGAGGAAUAGGUUAGAGAAAUAUUUUUUUUCCAUCUCAGUUAAUGUAAAAAUAAAACCUGUCCGGUUGACUAAG